rnacentral:lncRNA from 1 species
GAGGCUGCUGAGAGGACGUGGUCCUGGCUCCUGAGAUAAUGAAGCUUUUUAGGAGGUGGCUUUGGAUUUUGGCUUGGAUUUGAAUCCAAGCCACUUUGGCUUGGAUUUCAUGUCAUUUACAGUGGACUGUUACCUACUGAGCUUUUCAGCUUCUUAAAAGAAAAACACCUUUCCUGCAAUAUUAACCCUGCAAAAGUACCAAAAAAGCAUCCAUGCUGGUGAAGUAAUGCAAAGGAAUUUAAUUAUCUGCCAAACAUUGUUGAAAGCCCUUACCCAGGUUUAAUAUUUUGUGAAGUCUGAGGGAGAACAAAUAUCACUGUGAAAACUCUGAUUUUGCUACUGAAUAGGUGGUUUGCUUUGAAGAGCUCCUACUAAUGUGGAAAGCAGCAGCGACAUACAGCAGGUGCUGUACAAACAUGGACUGUCCAUCCCCCAAACCGUUCACAAAGUCUUUUGCUUCGAAUGGGUACUGAAGUCAUUAAAGCAUACAAGCCCUUUGACAAGAGUUUCUUUAGAGGAUGUAGGACUACUUAUUUCUCAUCCAGAAAGCAAUGAAGAGGUAAGAACCUCCUUGUUGGAAACAAAGCAGGACGUUAAAAGCCCAAUAAUAUUUCAAAAUGUUU